UCCUAUUGUGUGCAAUAGUUAGCCUCAUGUGAACGCUGCUUAGAACUACAAACAUGCAGAGAUGAAAUUCAACUUAUGUGAAUGAAAAUCUUCGAUUAAGAAUUGCAAAUAAUUAAACCAAAUGACAGCGAUGAAUUCUCGAAUACUUCACUUACUACUUUCACAUACUACUUCCUUGAGAAUUUUGAAUCUUGGUUGGAUUUGAUGCUUGUGACAAAUGACAGACCAUGAAUAUUCUAAUUAUCUUCAAAGUAAACUUCAGUGCAUUUUUCCUGAAUACAAAUGACAGCAACCCCCCAUAGAAUAUGCGUCGUUUGCCUUGAAGAAAUUCAUUAUUCUGAACUAAGAAGUGGACUGCUGGGAGCUUCGAUUCCUAAAAAGUCCACCGUUAAGCUUACGCCCUGAAGACAUUCUCUACCAAAGCGUCUACUAGAUGAACCGUAAAAGGGGCCGGCACAAGAAAAUGUCUAUUGUAUAUCUAAAAGAACACGCCAGGAUACCGGAGUCAAAUCCAGGUCAAUACCGCAUGUAGAGAAUAGCCAAAACAAAAGUGCAAGUGCUUUCUACAUCAAGUUCCGAUAUUUUCAGCAUUUGUCCUAAAAGUAAAACUUUUACGGAAGUGUCCCACUGCCGGUCUCCCCUGGAUGGAUUGAUUGAUAGGUACAAUCCCUGCAUAACAGUGCAAAGCUUCCGGUUGUAUUUAUAGAUUUUGUUGGUGGGUUUUUUAAUAACCUACAAACAUCAUUCCUUAGACUUCGUCUUCAAAAAGGAGGAGGGGAUCUGCUGUCUGACAGACGUUAGGAAGUGUGGAUGUUCCAGUGCUUAACAGUUAAAAAGACGGCUCAUUAAAUUGUUUUAUGAAUGUUUUAAGUGGAACGCAAGGGGCAUUUCACUGUAUUUGGUUGAAAGUUUAUGACUGGAACAUUGUUACGAAUCAGAGCAGGUCUGGGCUCUUAUGCAGUGGUUAAAUAGUAAAAGCGGAAGUUUUGCUGCAAAUUACUGCGUCGAUUUUCAUUUUGUAUAAUUUUUUUUUUCUUUCUUCUAAAACGAGCUAAAACCUAAAGUGGACCAUAAAGACAAAUUAUAUAAUGAAAAUAAAAUU